UUCCAGUGAGAAUUGAUCAGGACAUGGCCUU
rnacentral:piRNA from 1 species